rnacentral:lncRNA from 1 species
GCUUGCUAUGCUGAUCUUCAAGCUUGAAUUUCUUUUGUCGAUCCUAACCUUAUUUCUCUGUUCAAACAAAAAGAAAACAAAAAGAAUAUGAGCUACACUAGCCCAGUAAGUAGAACUUGCGCUUCCUUAUCGGAUCAAACAUAAGUUUUUCAUGAUAAUGCAAUAUUUAGAAAAUAGCAGGUAAUACAAAAUAAAGCAUUUCAUAGAGCAUAUAACAAAACAAGUUAUAAA